rnacentral:snoRNA from 1 species
CCCCCCUCAGGGUAGCACCUGGAGAGGUUCUAGUACUCUACCAGUCUCGGCUACAGGAGGGAGAGUCAAGCAGAGGCAUACCCAUUCCAUUCCUAGCUUGGCCAGUGGUUAGUGAGUAGAAGGCAAUCUGCUACAAGU